ACUUAGAACCAGUUAGAUACACCCAGAAAAAAAAGAACGAAAAAAAUCAAGAACAUUUUUCAUGAAAUGCGAACAAUCCGUUCUCCAUUUUUAGUUCUCACAUUUCGAACGUAUGUUCACGAAAAUCGAACGGUGUUGGUAACAAUCUCUACCGACGAACAACUUGGUUCCAAAUUUCGAAAAAUGUUCUCGCCACAUGGUUGAUGUUUGUUUAUUGCAACAAUAUGUCGGUCUAGUGUCCCGAUUUUCCGCUAUCGAAAAAUUCGCUCGGUGGUCCAGCUGCUAGAGCGUCCGCCUUCGACACAUGGUAUCACAGGUUCGAGUCCGCAAGAAGACGGUUGUGAAUUCAAAAUAAACAAAACACAUUGAUUUCUAGCAAUAACAAAACAUAAGGUGGGAAAUUAAAUAAAUCUCUACCAGGCGUCCAGAAAGUCUAGCAUGUACACAAACCUCGUUUUUUU